GGUAUCGCCGUUAGUCAUGUGCAAAUAUGGAUAGCUGUUUUAGCCGUCUUUAUUGACUGGUUUAUAAGAGUUAUCAGAUAUCACUUUGAUUAAAUUAGAGUGCUUAAAGCAAGUGUGUUACUUGGAUAUGAAUGCAUGGAAUGAUGGAAUAUGUUGUUAUUCUAUUUGUUGGUUUUUGAAUGAUAAAAUGAUUGAAAGGAACUGUUGGGGGCAUUCGUAUUGUUGUGAGAGAGGUGAAAUUCUUAGACCACAGCAAGACGAACUACUGCGAAAGCAUUUGCCAAGAAUGUUUUCAUUGAUCAAGAACGAAAGUUAGAGGUUCGAAGGCGAUCAGAUACCGCCCUAGUUCUAACCAUAAACUAUGCCAACUAGCAAUUUGCUUUGUAUUUUUUAUGACUAAGUGAGAGGCCACGGGAAACCUAAGUAGGGUUAUGGGGGAAGUAUGGUUGCAAAGCUGAAACUUAAAGGAAUUGACGGAAGGGCACCACCAGGAGUGGAGCCUGCGGCUUAAUUUGACUCAACACGGGUAAACUUACCUGGUCCUGACACUAGAAGGAUUGACAGAUUGAUAGCUCUUUCUUGAUUUGGUGGAUGGUGGUGCAUGGCCGUUCUUAGUUGGUGGAGUGAUUUGUCUGGUUAAUUCCGAUAACGAACGAGACUCUAGCCUAUUAAAUAAUACACGGAAUUUUAUCUUCCGCGGUAUUUCUUAGUGGGAUCAAGCG
rnacentral:rRNA from 1 species